GAUGAACGCUGGCGGCGUGCCUAAUACAUGCAAGUCGAGCGAACAGACGAGGAGCUUGCUCCUCUGACGUUAGCGGCGGACGGGUGAGUAACACGUGGAUAACCUACCUAUAAGACUGGGAUAACUUCGGGAAACCGGAGCUAAUACCGGAUAAUAUAUUGAACCGCAUGGUUCAAUAGUGAAAGACGGUUUUGCUGUCACUUAUAGAUGGAUCCGCGCCGCAUUAGCUAGUUGGUAAGGUAAUGGCUUACCAAGGCAACGAUGCGUAGCCGACCUGAGAGGGUGAUCGGCCACACUGGAACUGAGACACGGUCCAGACUCCUACGGGAGGCAGCAGUAGGGAAUCUUCCGCAAUGGGCGAAAGCUUGACGGAGCAACGCCGCGUGAGUGAUGAAGGUCUUCGGAUCGUAAAACUCUGUUAUUAGGGAAGAACAAAUGUGUAAGUAACUAUGCACGUCUUGACGGUACCUAAUCAGAAAGCCACGGCUAACUACGU
rnacentral:rRNA from 1 species